ensembl:lncRNA
AAAUGACUUAAAGCACCACCAGUAUGUGGCUAACAUGAGAAAAGAACUUCAAAAAGCUUACCAGCUAGCCGCUGAUGCAGCUUCCAGGAACAAUGAACGAAACAAGAGACUGUAUGAUGCGAGAGUUCGGAAUCAGACACUUGAGGAAGGUGAUCGGGUGCUGGUUCGGAAUCUGGGCCUCACAGGAAAGCACAAACUACAAGACAGAUGGAACUCACUACCUUACAUAGUGAUUGCCAAGUUACCCAAUCUCCCUGUGUAUCGUGUAAAACCAGAGAGAGGAACUGGUAUUGUGAGGACCGUGCAUAGGGAUCACCUGCUGCCCAUUGGUUACAUGGUCAGGAUGUCUGCUCCAUCAGAAAAGACAGCGCGACCAAAGAGACCAAGGACCAGGGCACAGCAAGUAAGGUGUGAAGAUGAAAGUCAGACACAAAAUUUGGAGCAUCUGAGUGAAGAUGAUUGGUCCUCAGAGUCUGAAGAACAGUGUGUCUACUAUGAACCUCCUUUAGCCUUUCGCGACAGUGUUGAACCUCGACGUGAGGAGGUUGUGAGCCUUCCUGACCAUAUGGAAAGUGAUCAUCCCAGUGUUCAUGAAUUGUCCGAGGUGGAGGAACAGGGGGAAGAACUCUCAGUAGUAGUAGAUCAGACGGAGGAAAGUUCACAGCAACACCAAGACUUGGUGGAGGCUGAAGAGCUGGAGGACAGAGAUGUUCCUACACCUAGUAUCUCAGUUGGGGGUGCUGACUCACCCUAUGACCUCCAAACAAAAAGGAGAGUGAGACCUGUUUUGCGCCUCAGUUAUGAUGAACUUGGAAGGCCCACUGACAGACCUGUGACUAUUAGUUACCGAGGUAUGGUAAUUCAGAUUUGCUACGACCCUGACUCCUAAAUGUUAAUGCCCUAGCCAGUACUCUUUAGUGAGAUUUUAACUGGCCUAAUGAAAAUAGGUCUGAUGGGGACAUUCAGACAUUCAGAAGGGGGAGGGUGUAGCCCUGGCUAUAUAAGUAGCUCAUUAUUUCAAUUUGUUCAUUAAUAUUGAUAGUUAAUUGCAAAUGUUUAAUGUGUUCAAGAAUGUAUACCUGCAAAGUAUGUGAUGUGUGUCAGUUAAAUGCACAACCUUUUUAUUUGUAUUUUGAGGUUUAUGUCAUUAUUUUUGAUAUGGUAUUGAUAUGUACUACAGCUCCAGUGAACCCUGAAGUAGUCUCAGGUAGAGGGGUGGGAGUAAGUGGGGAGCCGUGUGCACUCUGCAGGAAGCGAGAGAGACGAGAGCUGAACAGUGUCGAGUGAACGCAGAGUUCAUAGAAGGGCGACAGACGCAUUUUCGGGUUAACGGAUAGUUAACUGGAGUCGAGAACUGUUGUACCCUACUGUGAGUAGGAGGAGACGGACGUCUUGCUGGUGUGUCAGAGAGGUCCCUUCUGCUGGUGUGCUGAAGUUAUGUGUUCACGUGGGAGCACGUGGAAAGGACGACUGUGAGUGCUGCUGCCGCGGCCUGCUGGUAGCCGUGACCCAGUUUCCCCGCUAUCCCCUUGAACUGCCUGGAGGUGUGAGUACUGUUGUUUGCACGUGCUUUUUAUUUUUACUGCUUGGCAACAAGUGAAGCGACC